AGUGAACGCUGGCGGCGUGCCUAACACAUGCAAGUCGAACGGACGAAGAGAGCUUGCUCUCCUAGUUAGUGGCGCACGGGUGAGUAACACGUAGCUAACCUGCACCAUAGUAAGGGACAACAGUUGGAAACGACUGCUAAUACCUUAUACUCCUUCUCUACCUAAGUAGAGUCGGGAAAGUUUUUUCGCUAUGGGAUGGGGCUGCGGACUAUCAGCUUGUUGGGGAGGUAAUGGCUCACCAAGGCUAUGACGGGUAGCUGGUCUGAGAGGAGGAUCAGCCACAUUCGCACUGAGACCCGGUCCAAACGCCUACGUGAGGCAGCAGUGGGGAAUUUUACACAAUGGGCGAAAGCCUGAUGUAGCAACGCCGCGUGGAGGAUGAAGGAUUUAGGUUCGUAAACUCCUUUUAUAAGGGAAGAAAUUUGACGGUACCUUAUGAAUAAGCACCGGCUAACUCCGUGCCAGCCGCCGCGGUAA
rnacentral:rRNA from 1 species